rnacentral:rRNA from 1 species
GAUGAACGCUAGCUACCCCCUUUAACACAUGCAAGUCGAGGGGCAGCAUGUCGGUUGCUUCCAUCCGAUGAUGGCGACCGGCGCACGGGUGAGUAACGCGUAUCCAACCUACCCUUGUCCAUCGGAUAACCCGUCGAAAGGCGGCCUAACACGAUAUGCGGUUCACCGCAGGCAUCUAAGGUGAACGAAAUGUGAAGGAGAAGGAUGGGGAUGCGUCUGAUUAGCUUGUUGGCGGGGUAACGGCCCACCAAGGCUACGAUCAGUAGGGGUUCUGAGAGGAAGGUCCCCCACAUUGGAACUGAGACACGGUCCAAACUCCUACGGGAGGCAGCAGUGAGGAAUAUUGGUCAAUGGACGGGAGUCUGAACCAGCCAAGUAGCGUGCAGGACGACGGCCCUAUGGGUUGUAAACUGCUUUUAUAGGGGGAUAAAGUGUGCCACGUGUGGCAUAUUGCAGGUACCCUAUGAAUAAGGACCGGCUAAUUCCGUGCCAGCAGCCGCGGUAAUACGGAAGGUCCGGGCGUUAUCCGGAUUUAUUGGGUUUAAAGGGAGCGUAGGCCGUCUUAUAAGCGUGUUGUGAAAUGUCGGGGCUCAACCUGGGCAUUGCAGCGCGAACUGUGAGACUUGAGUGCGCAGGAAGUAGGCGGAAUUCGUCGUGUAGCGGUGAAAUGCUUAGAUAUGACGAAGAACUCCGAUUGCGAAGGCAGCCUGCUGUAGCGCAACUGACGCUGAAGCUCGAAAGCGUGGGUAUCGAACAGG